GUGCUCACUUCAGCAGCACAUAUACUAAAAACUGGAAUAAUGUAGAGAAGACUAGUAUGGCCCCUACGCAGCAAUGAAACGCAAAUUCAUGAAGCGUUCCGUUUUUCA
rnacentral:snRNA from 1 species